GCCGUCGCGGCCGUCGCCGUCAGCCGCCGCCUAUUUUCUCUACGAUGUCCAUCCGACGCCGGACUGCCUCGAAUUUCCUAGAGCUAAGGCGACGAUCUGCGGAGUUUUAGUUAAAAAGCCUGGCGCGCAUAACCCGCAGUCGGCCAGUCUCGCGUACACGUGAAUGGUCACACGAUACCCCGAAGACCCGAACUUUCCGAAGAAGACGCACACUACCGUCAAGGGCGGACGAUCUCACUAGCCGCGCUGCUAAAUACGUGUACUCGACCGAGUGUGCAAUUAAUCACCGAUCCGUGGUUAAUUGGUGCCGGGGAUCGAUCGGCUGUGUUCACGGCCCAUUCAACGAAAGUUCCGUCACACCGGCCCGUUGUCCUGAGACGGUAUUCCGAUGCUAAGAAGAAAGUGCUAAUAACAACAAUUAAGACAAUUUUCAUACGAGAAUACAAUUAAUUGAUCUCUUAAAUACGAUUGUAAUAGUUUGUAUUAUGUAUCAUCGUAUCGCGUUACUGCAGACACCUCCUAUGUAUAAUGUAUAAUAAAUUAUAAUUCACUUGA